rnacentral:rRNA from 1 species
GUGCUUCGCAUUGGCACAUCCAUCUCGGUUGGUACUGGGUCCUCGACCCUGUUCUGGUUUGAUCGAUGGAUUGGCGACACCCCCCUGGCCGCUCGAUUCCCGGAGCUAUUCGCUAUUGCUGUUGACCAUCGGGUCUCUGUCGAGUCGACCCUUAUUGACUUAGGGCGCCUCGCUUUUCGCCACCCCUUUGGCCCGGCUGAAGUAGCCGCCUGGGAUGCCCUCCUCCAGAACAUCGCCCUUCUCCCGAUGAACAUCACCGACACCUCGGACGCCAUCUCUUGGCGUCUGGAAUCGUCCGGCUGCUUCUCCACCAAAUCCCUCUACGCAGCCUUCGCCCCCUUGCUGGCACCCGAGCCCUUCAGUCUGAUUUGGGACAUCCGCUUGCCCCUGAAAGUCAGGAUCUUCCUGUGGCAAUGGAUCCGCGGCCGCCUCCCAUAUGGCGUGAAGGUCCUCAAGCGUAAUGGACCCGGAGAUGGGCUUUGUCCCCUGUGCGGCACGGUGGAGAAUGCUAAUCACAUCUUCUUCUCGUGCUCCACGGUCCAGUUUCUCUGGUCCAGUUUCCGCGAGACGGUUGGGGGCCAGUGGUGCAACUCCAACUUCCCUGACCUUCUUGCGGAGAUCCAUGCCUCCCCCCUCGCUACCGCCAUAUUAGAUGGCUCUGCGUUGGGGUCCUUGCCUGGACGCUUUGGACCGUACGCAAUAAGCUUGUCAUCCAAAAGGUGCCUCUUCGACGCGCUACUGACGCCAUUUUUAAAAUGUGUGGGUACUUGCAGCUUUGGCGGCCGCUUAGCCGCCCUCAGGAUCGGGACGUCAUCAACACCCUCCUCGCCGACCUUCGAUCCCUGGCCUUCCGCUUGGCGCCCCCGCUCCCACCGCCACCCCCGGAGCCCGACUAGAUGCUCCGUUGCGCCGUGUGUGUGCGUGUUUUUUUUGUUUUCAGGGCUUGUUGAGCUGUGCCCUCAGCAUUAA